UGGGGAAUAUUGCGCAAUGGGGGAAACCCUGACGCAGCGACGCCGUGUGAGGGAAGAAGGCUCUCGGGUCGUAAACCUCUGUCGGGAAGGAAGAACCUCUCAGGGCUGAACAAGCCCUGGGACUGACGGUACUUCCAAAGGAAGCACCGGCUAACUCCGUGCCAGCAGCCGCGGUAAUACGGAGGGUGCAAGCGUUAAUCGGAAUCACUGGGCGUAAAGCGCGCGUAGGCCGUCUUUUAAGUCGGACGUGAAAGCCCUCGGCUCAACCGGGGAACUGCGUUCGAUACUGGGAGACUUGAGUCCUGGAGAGGGUGGCGGAAUUCCUGGUGUAGGAGUGAAAUCCGUAGAUAUCCGGAGGAACACCGGUGGCGAAGGCGGCCACCUGGACAGGUACUGACGCUGAGGCGCGAAAGCGUGGGGAGCAAACA
rnacentral:rRNA from 1 species